UACGGAGGAUCCGAGCGUUAUCCGGAUUUAUUGGGUUUAAAGGGUGCGCAGGCGGGAGAUUAAGUCGGCGGUGAAAUUUUGCAGCUUAACUGUAAAAGUGCCUUCGAAACUGGUUUCCUUGAGUGUAGAUGAAGUAGGCGGAAUUUGUGGUGUAGCGGUGAAAUGCAUAGAUAUCACGAGGAACUCCGAUUGCGCAGGCAGCUUACUAAACUACUACUGACGCUCAGGCACGAAGGCGUGGGGAUCAAACAGGAUUAGAUACCCCCGUAGUCCCU
rnacentral:rRNA from 1 species